AUGAACGCUGGCGGCGUGCCUCACCCAUGCAAGUCGCACGAAGCACCUUACCUGAUUCUUCGGAUGAAAGUUUGGUGACUGAGUGGCGGACGGGUGAGUAACGCGUGGGUAACCUGCCCUGUACAGGGGGAUAACAGCUGGAAACGGCUGCUAAUACCGCAUAAGCGCACGAGGAGACAUCUCCUUGUGUGAAAAACUCCGGUGGUACAGGAUGGGCCCGCGUCUGAUUAGCUGGUUGGCAGGGUAACGGCCUACCAAGGCAACGAUCAGUAGCCGGUCUGAGAGGAUGAACGGCCACAUUGGAACUGAGACACGGUCCAAACUCCUACGGGAGGCAGCAGUGGGGAAUAUUGCACAAUGGGGGAAACCCUGAUGCAGCAACGCCGCGUGAGUGAAGAAGUAUUUCGGUAUGUAAAGCUCUACCAGCAGGGAAGAUAAUGACGGUACCUGACUAAGAAGCUCCGGCUAAAUACGUG
rnacentral:rRNA from 1 species